UACGUAGGGUGCAAGCGUUGUCCGGAAUUAUUGGGCGUAAAGAGCUCGUAGGCGGUUCGUCGCGUCGGCUGUGAAAUCCCGAGGCUCAACCUCGGGUCUGCAGUCGAUACGGGCGGACUGGAGUCCGGAAGAGGAGAGUGGAAUUCCUGGUGUAGCGGUGAAAUGCGCGGAUAUCAGGAAGAACACCCGUGGCGAAGGCGGCUCUCUGGGACGGUACUGACGCUGAGACGCGAAAGCGUGGGGAGCGAACAGG
rnacentral:rRNA from 1 species